UGGGGAAUAUUGGACAAUGGGCGAAAGCCUGAUCCAGCCAUGCCGCGUGUGUGAAGAAGGUCUUCGGAUUGUAAAGCACUUUAAGUUGGGAGGAAGGGCAUUAACCUAAUACGUUAGUGUUUUGACGUUACUGACAGAAUAAGCACCGGCUAACUCUGUGCCAGCAGCCGCGGUAAUACAGAGGGUGCAAGCGUUAAUCGGAAUUACUGGGCGUAAAGCGCGCGUAGGUGGUUUGUUAAGUUGGAUGUGAAAUCCCCGGGCUCAACCUGGGAACUGCAUUCAAAACUGACUGACUAGAGUAUGGUAGAGGGUGGUGGAAUUUCCUGUGUAGCGGUGAAAUGCGUAGAUAUAGGAAGGAACACCAGUGGCGAAGGCGACCACCUGGACUAAUACUGACACUGAGGUGCGAAAGCGUGGGGAGCAAACA
rnacentral:rRNA from 1 species